GGUUAAGCGACUAAGCGUACACGGUGGAUGCCCUGGCAGUCAGAGGCGAUGAAGGACGUGCUAAUCUGCGAAAAGCGUCGGUAAGGUGAUAUGAACCGUUAUAACCGGCGAUGUCCGAAUGGGGAAACCCAGUGCAAUUCGUUGCACUAUCGUUAACUGAAUACAUAGGUUAACGAGGCGAACCGGGGGAACUGAAACAUCUAAGUACCCCGAGGAAAAGAAAUCAACCGAGAUUCCCCCAGUAGCGGCGAGCGAACGGGGAGCAGCCCAGAGUCUGAAUCAGCUUGUGUGUUAGUGGAACGGUCUGGAAAGUCCGACGGUACAGGGUGAUAGUCCCGUACACCAAAAUGCACAGGUUGUGAACUCGAAGAGUAGGGCGGGACACGUGGUAUCCUGUCUGAAUAUGGGGGGACCAUCCUCCAAGGCUAAAUACUCCUGACUGACCGAUAGUGAACCAGUACCGUGAGGGAAAGGCGAAAAGAACCCCGGCGAGGGGAGUGAAAAAGAACCUGAAACCGUGUACGUACAAGCAGUGGGAGCACCUUCGGGUGUGACUGCGUACCUUUUGUAUAAUGGGUCAGCGACUUAUAUUCUGUAGCAAGGUUAACCGUAUAGGGGAGCCGCAGGGAAACCGAGUCUUAACUGGGCGUUAAGUUGCAGGGUAUAGACCCGAAACCCGGUGAUCUAGCCAUGGGCAGGUUGAAGGUUGGGUAACACUAACUGGAGGACCGAACCGACUAAUGUUGAAAAAUUAGCGGAUGACUUGUGGCUGGGGGUGAAAGGCCAAUCAAACCGGGAGAUAGCUGGUUCUCCCCGAAAGCUAUUUAGGUAGCGCCUCGUGAAUUCAUCUUCGGGGGUAGAGCACUGUUUCGGCUAGGGGGUCAUCCCGACUUACCAACCCGAUGCAAACUACGAAUACCGAAGAAUGUUAUCACGGGAGACACACGGCGGGUGCUAACGUCCGUCGUGAAGAGGGAAACAACCCAGACCGCCAGCUAAGGUCCCAAAGUCACAGUUAAGUGGGAAACGAUGUGGGAAGGCACAGACAGCCAGGAUGUUGGCUUAGAAGCAGCCAUCAUUUAAAGAAAGCGUAAUAGCUCACUGGUCGAGUCGGCCUGCGCGGAAGAUGUAACGGGGCUAAACUGUGCACCGAAGCUGCGGCAGCGACACUAUGUGUUGUUGGGUAGGGGAGCGUUCUGUAAGCCUGCGAAGGUGGCCUGUGAGGGUUGCUGGAGGUAUCAGAAGUGCGAAUGCUGACAUAAGUAACGAUAAUGCGGGUGAAAAGCCCGCACGCCGGAAGACCAAGGGUUCCUGUCCAACGUUAAUCGGGGCAGGGUGAGUCGACCCCUAAGGCGAGGCCGAAAGGCGUAGUCGAUGGGAAACAGGUUAAUAUUCCUGUACUUGGUGUUACUGCGAAGGGGGGACGGAGAAGGCUAUGUUAGCCGGGCGACGGUUGUCCCGGUUUAAGCAUGUAGGCGGAGGUUCCAGGUAAAUCCGGUACCUUAUUAACGCUGAGGUGUGAUGACGAGGCACUACGGUGCUGAAGUAACAAAUGCCCUGCUUCCAGGAAAAGCCUCUAAGCAUCAGGUAACAUUAAAUCGUACCCCAAACCGACACAGGUGGUCAGGUAGAGAAUACCAAGGCGCUUGAGAGAACUCGGGUGAAGGAACUAGGCAAAAUGGUGCCGUAACUUCGGGAGAAGGCACGCUGAUAUGUAGGUGAAGCCCCUGCGGGUGGAGCUGAAAUCAGUCGAAGAUACCAGCUGGCUGCAACUGUUUAUUAAAAACACAGCACUGUGCAAACACGAAAGUGGACGUAUACGGUGUGACGCCUGCCCGGUGCCGGAAGGUUAAUUGAUGGGGUUAUCCGUAAGGAGAAGCUCUUGAUCGAAGCCCCGGUAAACGGCGGCCGUAACUAUAACGGUCCUAAGGUAGCGAAAUUCCUUGUCGGGUAAGUUCCGACCUGCACGAAUGGCGUAAUGAUGGCCAGGCUGUCUCCACCCGAGACUCAGUGAAAUUGAACUCGCUGUGAAGAUGCAGUGUACCCGCGGCAAGACGGAAAGACCCCGUGAACCUUUACUAUAGCUUGACACUGAACAUUGAGCCUUGAUGUGUAGGAUAGGUGGGAGGCUUUGAAGCGUGGACGCCAGUCUGCGUGGAGCCAACCUUGAAAUACCACCCUUUAAUGUUUGAUGUUCUAACGUUGGCCCCUUAUCGGGGUUGCGGACAGUGUCUGGUGGGUAGUUUGACUGGGGCGGUCUCCUCCCAAAGAGUAACGGAGGAGCACGAAGGUUAGCUAAUCCUGGUCGGACAUCAGGAGGUUAGUGCAAUGGCAUAAGCUAGCUUGACUGCGAGCGUGACGGCGCGAGCAGGUGCGAAAGCAGGUCAUAGUGAUCCGGUGGUUCUGAAUGGAAGGGCCAUCGCUCAACGGAUAAAAGGUACUCCGGGGAUAACAGGCUGAUACCGCCCAAGAGUUCAUAUCGACGGCGGUGUUUGGCACCUCGAUGUCGGCUCAUCACAUCCUGGGGCUGAAGUAGGUCCCAAGGGUAUGGCUGUUCGCCAUUUAAAGUGGUACGCGAGCUGGGUUUAGAACGUCGUGAGACAGUUCGGUCCCUAUCUGCCGUGGGCGCUGGAGAAUUGAGGGGGGCUGCUCCUAGUACGAGAGGACCGGAGUGGACGCAUCACUGGUGUUCGGGUUGUCAUGCCAAUGGCAUUGCCCGGUAGCUAAAUGCGGAAGAGAUAAGUGCUGAAAGCAUCUAAGCACGAAACUUGCCCCGAGAUGAGUUCUCCCUGAACUCCUUGAGACUCCUGAAGGAACGUUAAAGACGAUGACGUUGAUAGGUCGGGUGUGUAAGCGUAGCGAUACGUUGAGCUAACCGAUACUAAUGAACCGUGAGGCUUAACCUU
rnacentral:rRNA from 1 species